UGCUAUGGAGUCCCAUUUGCACCUGGAAUGCUGGGAACAGGGGAUGGAGCAGCAAGAAGCAAUUGAAAGGAUUAGGAUGGAACCUUCCUCAAGCUUCACAGGCUUGUCUGCUGGCCACAGACACCAUUAUGUACACAGGAAAAUCAGAUCAUUAUCUAAGGCCAACAAGCUCCUCCUUGAGAUGUUCUGCCAUAUAAUCUGGAGGAAAUACUGUAAGACUUUGUCAGCACUGAGUCAUUUGCACUGGGAGUCUUACCAGAAAAAAAAAAUCUUGUCUUCUCAGAAGGAAUACCCUUCCUGAGGCCAAGAUGUGUCCUCUGGAAAGAUACCCAUGACACAGACCACAGUGGACACCAACUCAGAUACUGAGGGAAGGUUCCACGACAGCUGAACAUGGACAGCAGACAUGCUGAACACUGAGCCCCUUAGUACAGAGCUGCUAAGCUUUCCUCUCAAGCUGACGGGGGCUGGUACUGCCUUGAAGCCCUGGGAGAUGCCAUGCCAAUUCCCAGCAAGGUCUUUAUUGUUGAAAGUCUUGCACGAUGACAUCUUUAUUCAUGUGAAAAUACAGGAUGAAUUUCAACUAUAUGAUAUUGUUUAUGUUCAUUAGAAAUGUUAUUUGUCUUUACCAAGUCUGGUUUCAAUGAACCGGCUAUGUAAUGGAUAUUAAAUAAACAUGGAAUUUUACAUGUUCA
rnacentral:lncRNA from 1 species